rnacentral:pre_miRNA from 1 species
CGCUUUCUGGAUCCGUGUAGAGAUUUCGUCAGACAUCAACCCAUUGGGUUUGAUCAGACUACCAAGGUAAGUGAAGUU